ACACCACAUUAAAACAUCUUUUUUCUGAUUUUGCAUACAAAUUUCUUUUUCUGAUUAAAUUUUUAUUUAACCCGAAUAAAAAUAUCGCAACGAGACAAUACGGUUUUUAUUAUUUAUGUAACGGUUGUACCUCAUCGCUGUCGCACUUAGUACUAUAACAACGACGUUUUCAUCUUGUAAUAAACCACGUCUUUCGUGGAAAUAAUGAAACGAGCACGAGUACAAGAUCCGUCGAACUCCGCAUGUCUUACUCGGAAAUCGCUUUUGAUGUGCAGUAUAUUUCUUACGAUUCAUUAUUAUGAGGCCGUGACAUGCAAGUUUAUGAUAAAAAAAUAUAAUAGUACGUUUGCUUCUCGAUACAAGAGACAAUUUAACACGGGAUUACGCAACGGACAACAAUAAAAAAAAAGAUUAUUACUGACGAGUGACCGAUUCAGCUGUCGCUCAGCCGCUACGCUGUUGGAUAAGUGACGCCAUCUCUCGGGAUCGAGUCGGAUCAAAACAAAGAUAGAUGACAUAAGAGAGACGAGAAUAGACGGAUGUGUCUCUCCGGCGCUUCUUUAAAAUUGUACUAAUCUUAGUUCAAAAUUUUCUUGUCUUACAAAGCUUCAAAAUUCUUUUUGAAGCACUCAAAAUAUUUGUCUAUGUUUCUAAUUUUUUAUAACGAUAUUUUGUUCAGAUGCGUACAGUCAAUUUUGCAUGUAAAGCAAAAAUGUAUUUUAUGUAAUAACAAUCUGUAAAUUUUG